rnacentral:rRNA from 1 species
CCUACGGGAGGCAGCAGUGAGGAAUAUUGGUCAAUGCACGAGAGUCUGACCCAGCCAAGUCGCGUGAAUGAUGACUGCCCUAUGGGUUGUAAACUUCUUUUAUAUGGGAAUAAAUCCGGAUAAGCAUCUCCUCUUGUAUUUACCAUAUGAAUAUGGAUCGGCUAAGUCCGGGCCAGCAGCGGCGGUAAUACGGUGGGUGCGAGCGUUGUCCGGAUUUAGUGGGUUUAAAGGGAACGUAGGUGGAUUGGUAAGUCAGUUGUGAAAGGUUGGGGCGAAACCGUACAAUUGCAGUUGAAACUGGAAGACUAGAGUACAGGAGAGGAGGGCAGAAUUCGUGGUGUAGCGGUGAAAUGCUUAGAUAUCAGGAAGAACACCGAGAGCGAAGGCAGCAAACUGGACUGCAACUGACGCUGAGGCGCGAAAGCGUGGGUAGCAAACAGGAUUAGAUACCCUAGUAGUC